rnacentral:rRNA from 1 species
GAGUUUGAUCUUGGCUCAGAGCGAACGCUGGCGGCAGGCUUAACACAUGCAAGUCGAACGGGCGUAGCAAUACGUCAGUGGCAGACGGGUGAGUAACGCGUGGGAACGUACCUUUUGGUUCGGAACAACUGAGGGAAACUUCAGCUAAUACCGAAUAAGCCCUUACGGGGAAAGAUUUAUCGCCGAAAGAUCGGCCCGCGUCUGAUUAGCUUGUUGGUGAGGUAACGGCUCACCAAGGCGACGAUCAGUAGCUGGUCUGAGAGGAUGAUCAGCCACAUUGGGACUGAGACACGGCCCAAACUCCUACGGGAGGCAGCAGUGGGGAAUAUUGGACAAUGGGCGAAAGCCUGAUCCAGCCAUGCCGCGUGAGUGAUGAAGGCCCUAGGGUUGUAAAGCUCUUUUGUGCGGGAAGAUAAUGACGGUACCGCAAGAAUAAGCCCCGGCUAACUUCGUGCCAGCCGCCGCCGU